UUCCUGUUUCUGUAUUACAGAGGAGGGCUCUGAGCCUCAGACUUACCCAAAGCCAUCUGCUGGGAAGAACAGAUCUGGGAAUCAACAUCAGGAAUUCUGACCUCCAAAGCCGCAGUCUUUGCACGCACAGUAACUCUGAAAGCAGUCAAACAACCUCUUGUUUGUAUUCUGCAUAUUUAUUAGAGGCAAAGGCAUCCUCAAAGCAGUUGGAAAUUCUCCUCCAAGAUCUCCAUCCAUUCCUCAUUUCUGGGGCCCUGGGAUUCUGUGAUAAGGAAAGACAAUGAUGACAUGGAAGGAAGGAGUGGCUCCUUCCCAGAUGACAGCCAUGGCUCCAGGUGGAGAGAUGGAGGCUCAGAAGAGGUAAUUGAUGUGUCCAAGGUCAUACAGCAAGUCACUGACUGAAGACAAGUGCCAAGGUGUCCUGGCAUAGGACCAAGAUCUAGGAAGCCACCUUGAAUUAUCAAAGCAAUUUCUAGAGAUUCUUGGCCAUUUAUCAUCUAAAUCUCCUCCUGAUUCUAAGGUUGAUAGACUUCGAGACAAGGACAUUUCAUUAGAAAAUUAGGAGAAAUAUUUAUAAUUAAUAUUUCAAUUAUAAAAGGUAUCAUCCAAAAGUGAUCUACUUUAUCAUGUUGCUAGUGACAACCCAAGGAAGAGAG
rnacentral:lncRNA from 13 species